AACGAACGCUGGCGGCAUGCCUAACACAUGCAAGUCGAACGAUCCCUUCGGGGAUAGUGGCGCACGGGUGCGUAACGCCUGGGAACCUGCCCUUAGGUUCGGAAUAACUCAGAGAAAUUUGAGCUAAUACCGGAUAAUGUCUUCGGACCAAAGAUUUAUCGCCUUUGGAUGGGCCCGCGUUGGAUUAGCUAGUUGGUGGGGUAAAGGCCUACCAAGGCGACGAUCCAUAGCUGGUCUGAGAGGAUGAUCAGCCACACUGGGACUGAGACACGGCCCAGACUCCUACGGGAGGCAGCAGUGGGGAAUAUUGGACAAUGGGCGAAAGCCUGAUCCAGCAAUGCCGCGUGAGUGAUGAAGGCCUUAGGGUUGUAAAGCUCUUUUACCCGGGAUGAUAAUGACAGUACCGGGAGAAUAAGCCCCGGCUAACUCCGUG
rnacentral:rRNA from 1 species